GACGAACGCUGGCGGCGUGCUUAACACAUGCAAGUCGAGCGGUAAGGCCCUUUCGGGGGUACACGAGCGGCGAACGGGUGAGUAACACGUGGGUGACCUGCCCUCAGCUCUGGGAUAAGCCUGGGAAACCGGGUCUAAUACUGGAUAUGACUCCAUGACGCAUGUUGUGGGGUGGAAAGCCUUGUGCGGCUGAGGAUGGGCCCGCGGCCUAUCAGCUUGUUGGUGGGGUGANGGCCUACCAAGGCGACGACGGGUAGCCGGCCUGAGAGGGCGACCGGCCACACUGGGACUGAGACACGGCCCAGACUCCUACGGGGAGGCAGCAGUGGGGAAUCUUGCGCAAUGGGCGAAAGCCUGACGCAGCGACGCCGCGUGAGGGAUGACGGCCUGGUGU
rnacentral:rRNA from 1 species